UUUUGCCACAUAAACCUGUAUCUAUCUAUCUGCGUUAUCAACAAGAAUGUUGCUGAAAAUCCUCAUGUCUGUCAGUGCAAUUAGUGCACUGAGGGGCUAGCAGUGUAAUGACCGCCUGCACCACGCCCCUUGUUUCAGCGCAUCUAGAGGGGAGGAGAGAAGAUGAGAGAGGAGGGAGCAUUCGCGAGGUGAGAUGCUUAGUGCUUCCCUCGAAGGCCUGCAUGUCAAUGAGGGACGGCCAUCUGGAAAUCACUGCUUAAGACACAGAAACCAGCUGCAGCUCUUGCAGGGUACACUUGCUCAAUCACAGGGCAACAAAGGGACGGAUGCUUUUUCUGUCGCUCGGGCCAUUAUACUACACAUAUCAGCACUGACAGUCUAUUGGAGAGCUGCUAUAUGCAAUUGCUAAAAAUUUACGCGGUUGACUGCAUCAGACUUCAAUUAAAGUAAUGGAGCUGGAGCACUUUGACGAGCGGGAGAAAGCCCAGAGAAACACCCGCAGAGGCUCCAGGAACAACGGGCUGCCGAGCCCCACUCACAGUGCCCACUGUAGUCUGUACAGGACCCGGACACUGCAGUCCCUGGCCUCAGAGAAGAAGGCCAAGAAGGUUCGCUUUUACCGCAACGGAGACCGCUACUUCAAAGGGAUUGUCUACGCUAUUUCCCAGGACAGGUUUCGGUCUAUAGACGCCCUGUUAGCCGAUCUGACUCGCUCCCUGUCAGAUAAUGUGAACUUGCCCCAGGGGGUCCGGACCAUCUACUCUAUUGACGGGACCAAGAAGAUAUUGGGCAUGGAGCAGCUGGAGGAAGGCGAGAGCUAUGUGUGUGGCUCCAUAGAGCCAUACAGGAAGCUGGACUACACUAAGAAUGUCAACCCCAACUGGUCAGUUGGGGUGAAGACAGCUGCCUCUGCACGUGGCCCCCCCUCCCUGGGCAGUGCCAAGGCUGGGGCCCCGGAGACCAGGGAGAGUAAGGACUUCAUCCGGCCCAAACUGGUCACCAUCAUCCGGAGCGGGGUGAAGCCUCGAAAGGCCGUCCGCAUCCUCCUCAACAAGAAGACGGCCCACUCCUUCGAACAGGUCCUCUCUGACAUCACAGACGCCAUCAAGAUGGACUCUGGGGUCGUCAAGAGACUGUACACCGUGGAUGGGAAGCUGGUGACAUGCCUUCAGGACUUCUUUGGUGACGAUGACAUCUUUAUGGCCUGUGGUCCAGAGAAGUUUCGCUACCAAGAUGACUUCCUCUUAGAUGAGAGUGAAUGUAGGGUGGUGAAGUCGACGUCAUACGGUCGGAUCUCCUCUCUGCUGGGACGCUACUCACCCAGAGGAGGAGGCUCACGCCGAAGCUCAGGUUCAGCCAAUGGGACGGCAGGCAGUCAGCUGUCGACUCCUCGCUCAGGGAAGUCCCCCAGCCCCUCUCCUACCAGUCCUGCUAGUCUCCAACGACGCAGGGGGUCCCAACACAGUGGCUCGUCCCUGUCUCUAGCCUCCACCAAGGUGUGUAGCUCCAUGGAUGAGGGAGACGGAGCAGGUAAUGAAGCGGAGCUGAACCUGCUGAGUGAUGAAUGUCCCUCCGUCCCUCCAUCCAUCGCUGAGAGGUACAAGGUGGGGAGGACUUUAGGUGACGGUACCUUUGCUGUGGUCAGAGAGUGUGUGGAGAGAUGUACGGGCAGAGAAUACGCCCUGAAGAUCAUCAACAAAGGCAAAUGUAGGGGAAAGGAGCACAUGAUCCAGAACGAGGUGUCCAUCCUCCGUCGUGUCAAACACCCCAACAUCGUUCUGCUGAUCGAGGAAAUGGACACCUACAGUGAGCUUUACCUAGUCAUGGAGCUGGUCAAGGGGGGUGACCUGUUUGAUGCCAUCACUUCCUCUAGUAAAUACACAGAGAGAGAUGCUAGUGGGAUGCUUUAUAACCUGGCCAGUGCCAUCAAGUACCUGCACAGCCUCAACAUCGUGCACAGAGACAUCAAACCUGAGAACCUGCUGGUGUAUGAGCAUCAGGAUGGUAGUAAGUCUCUGAAGUUGGGAGACUUUGGCUUGGCUAGCCUGGUGGAUGGACUCCUCUACCUGGUCUGUGGCACCCCCACCUAUGUAGCACCUGAGAUCAUCGCUGAGACAGGGUACGGGCUGAAGGUUGAUAUCUGGGCAGCUGGAGUGAUCACAUACAUCCUGCUGUGUGGCUUCCCUCCCUUCAGUGGGAACAGUGAGGACCAGGAGAUUCUGUUGGACCAGAUUCUAACGGGACAAUUAGACUUCCCUUCACCGUCCUGGGACAACGUGUCUGUCACUGCUAAGGAGCUGAUUACUGGGAUGCUGCAGGUGAAGGUGGAACAGAGAUACACAGCUCUGCAGGUUCUGGAUCACCCCUGGGUCAAUGAUGAUGGCCGAUUAGUGAACGACCAGCAGCUCUCUGUGGCUGGGAAGAUUAAGAAACACUUCAACACUGGUCCUAAAGCCUGCAGCACCACUGCUGGAGUGUCUGUUAUCACAACCACCCCUCUUGAUAAGGAGCGGCAGGAUUUCAGACUAAGACACCAGCAGGAUGUGAGGUUGAAGCCCCGCCCCCGCCCCCAACCAACCGGCUUCCCCACCAGUGCCAGCCAACGCUCUGCCCGCAGCUCCAAUGACCCUGCCCUCUCUCCCGCUGACUUUACCUCAGAGUCAGAAGAUUACUCCCCCAGCCCCUCCCCCACCUCUCCUAGCUCCGCUGACACCGUCCGCUCCCCCACCUCCCCCUUCUAGACCCCGAAGGAAGAGAGCGAGGAGAGGAGGAUGGAGAGAGAACGAGGAAGGACAGGGGGCACGUAUCCCUGUACUAACACUGGCCCAUGUCCCUGUAUUCACGACGACAGUCUGUCAAGAUGCCUGCCAAUUACUUAAACAUUGAUUUGUCAUUCCGGCUACAGUGUCAGUUAACCCUAAGAUAUACUGGGGUCAGAGCCAUGCAUAGAGAUCAGUUAGGGUGGGGUUAGGGUUAAAGGGUAGAGGUUAGGGUCAAGGUUAAAGGUGUAUUCUGGAUGGGUUCUGCUCUGGCCCUGAGAGGUUACUAAGGCUGAGAAUCUGUAUCUCCUUAUCUUUUUAAGACACCACACAGACAUACAAUAGUUAAGCCUUAUUUCAGCAAAUACUGAAUAAUGGUCCACUGAGGUCCCCUGGUGUUGGGAGGUGAGUACUGCAGGCUAACCAACCUGCUAACAGGACAGCUUAAACUGCAACACAACUAACCUACAGAUCAAAAUCUUCCAUUCAACUUGACGGGACCUCAUACGCCCUAAAUAGAGCAUCUUAAGUAUUUAUGUGAUUAAACAUACAUUUUGAAAAUAAUAAUGAUAAUAAUAAUGACUUAAUAAUGUCCUUGAAAAGCGCUAUAUAAACAAAAUACCAUGUAUUAUUCAUUUUGAAAAUGUAUGCAUCAAGUCAGGUAUCUAUUUGUGUGAAGUUAUAUUGCACCCAAUUCAUUACAACUUGUACAGUUAAUUCUGUAGAAAAACACGUUCAAGUGAAAAGAUGUCAUCUCAGCUUCAGAACGUUCAAUAAGACAUGCUGUAUGAUGCUGUAUGAUGCUGUAUGAUGCAUGUAACGUGACGAUAUAAUCUAUGUGUGUCUAGAAGGACAUGUGGCUACGGUCAUGUCCACUCCAGUCCACUUUUAUUUAUCAAACUAUCUAGUGUUCAGCUAUUCUCCAGUUCUUGGUGCUGUUGUAGACAUAAUAUACUACACACUUUACAGAGGACCAGAGAGGGGCGCUAGAAGCUAUCCAGGCAUUCUGCUAUACCAUAUGGAUUGGUUGAUUGAUUGUGUUUUUGUCCAUGACUGUUAUGCCAGUGUGCCAGUUCAUGUACAGUGCUCAUUUAAUGGACUAUGAAAAAGGUUGUGUAUUUGGUAGAGUAUUAACAGCCAUUUUCAUGGCUUUUUAUUAUGGUACAAAAUUGGCCUUGUUUCAGUUAAUAUGUUAAUAUGUUGAUAGUGAAAGAAUUACCUGUUUAAAGUACAAUUAUUGGUCUGAACACAAUGGAUCAAGUGCAAUUAGGUUCUGGAUCUCUUACCAACAUUAGACAGCACAGACUUUUUCAAGCUAUUGUUAACUAUAAACAAUCCAUACAUUGUGAAUGUAUGUCAGAACAGAGGUGUUAUGGCAGCGUCUUUCAGUGCCGCCUGAGUUUUCAGCUUGCUGUAUGUAAGCCAGGGGUUGGAACCGGUUCAGGGAACAGAACUAAAAACCGGAAAAUCAUGCAAGCAAAACAAGAUGCCCAGCACUUCAAGCCUCCUCCUCCACCCUCUCACUCUCUUCCCACCCGCAACACUUCAGUCACAUCUCACUCCCUACAAUUGUCUGCCCAAUGCAUGUAAACAACUAUAGCUUGCCCGCUCCAUAGCAAGCUGCUAUAUCCGCACUGAUUGGUAAAGUAAUUUAAUGUUGAGUUAUAUGUUUAAAAAAACUAUGAUUGCGGUUUAAAAAGGAACAGAAAGGUAUGAUAUAAACUGCUACUAGUUUGGGGGUUCAAACUGGUUCAGAACUUUUUUUUGCUGGUCAGAACAAUGGAACUGAACAAAAAAAAUGGUUUUGUUAAAAAAUAUGCGAUUGGAAAAUAAUUGGUUCCAACCCCUGGUGUAAGCACAGUGAGUUGGCAGGUCUAAAAAGAGAAGCACAGUGAGUUAGCAGGUCUAAAAAGAGAAGCACAGUGAGUUGGCAGGUCUAAAAAGAGAAGCACAGUGAGUUGGCAGGUCUAAAAAGAGAAGCACAGUGAGUUGGCAGGUCUAAAAAGAGAAGCACAGUGAGUUGGCAGGUCUAAAAAGAGAAGCACAGUGAGUUGGCAGGUCUAAAAAGAGAAGCACAGUGAGUUGGCAGGUCUAAAAAGAGAAGCACAGUGAGUUGGCAGGUCUAAAAAGAGAAGCACAGUGAGUUGGCAGGUCUAGAGAGAGAGAGAAGCAUAGUGAGUUGGCAGGUCUAAAAAGAGAAGCACAGUGAGUUGGCAGGUCUAAAAAGAGAAGCACAGUGAGUUGGCAGGUCUAGAGAGAGAGAGAAGCACAGUGAGUCGGCAGGUCUAGAGAGAGAGAGAAGCAUAGUGAGUUGGCAGGUCUAAAAAGAGAGAGAAGCACAGUGAGUUGGCAGGUCUAAAAAGAGAAGCACAGUGAGUUGGCAGGUCUAGAGAGAGAGAGAAGCACAGUGAGUCGGCAGGUCUAGAGAGAGAGAGAAGCAUAGUGAGUUGGCAGGUCUAAAAAGAGAAGCACAGUGAGUUGGCAGGUCUAAAAAGAGAAGCACAGUGAGUUGGCAGGUCUAAAAAGAGAAGCACAGUGAGUUGGCAGGUCUAAAAAGAGAAGCACAGUGAGUUGGCAGGUCUAGAGAGAGAGAGAAGCACAGUGAGGUGGCAGGUCUAGAAAGAGAAGCACAGUGAGUUGGCAGGUCUAGAAAGAGAAAGUGAGUUUGCAGGUCUAGAGAGAGAGAGAAGCAUAGUGAGUUGGCAGGUCUAGAGAGAGAGAGAGAAGCAUAGUGAGUUGGCAGGUCUAGAAAGAGAAGCACAGUGAGUUGGCAGGUCUAAAAAGAGAAGCACAGUGAGUUGGCAGGUCUAGAGAGAGAGAGAAGCACAGUGAGUCGGCAGGUCUAGAGAGAGAGAGAAGCAUAGUGAGUUGGCAGGUCUAAAAAGAGAAGCACAGUGAGUUGGCAGGUCUAAAAAGAGAAGCACAGUGAGUUGGCAGGUCUAAAAAGAGAAGAACAGUGAGUUGGCAGGUCUAAAAAGAGAAGCACAGUGAGUUGGCAGGUCUAGAGAGAGAGAGAAGCACAGCGAGGUGGCAGGUCUAGAAAGAGAAGCACAGUGAGUUGGCAGGUCUAGAAAGAGAAAGUGAGUUUGCAGGUCUAGAGAGAGAGAGAAGCAUAGUGAGUUGGCAGGUCUAGAGAGAGAGAGAGAAGCAUAGUGAGUUGGCAGGUCUAGAAAGAGAAGCACAGUGAGUUGGCAGGUCUAGAGAGAGAAGAACAGUAAUUCAGGCGGUUCUAGAGAGAGAAGCGCAGUGUUUCAGACAGGUCUAGAGAGAGAAGCAGAGUAAUUCAGACAGGUCUAGAGAGAGAAGAACAGUAAUUCAGGCGGUUCUAGAGAGAGAAGCGCAGUGUUUCAGACAGGUCUAGAGAGAGAAGCAGAGUAAUUCAGACAGGUCUAGAGAGAGAAGCGCAGUCAUUCAGACAGGUCUAGAGAGAGAUGCACAGUGAUUCAGUCAGGUGUAGAGAGAGAAGCACAGUGAUCCAGACAGGUCUAGAGAGAAACACAGUAUUUCAGACAGGUCUAGAGAGAGAAGCACAGUGAGUUGGCAGGUCUAGAAAGAGAAACACAGUGAGUUGGCAGGUCUAAAAAGAGAAGCACAGUGAGUUGGCAGUUCCAGAAAGAGAAGCACAGUGAGUUGGGCAGGUCUAGAGAGAGAGAGAAGCACAGCGAGGUGGCAAGUCUAGAAAGAGAAGCACAGUAAGUUGGCAGGUCUAGAAAGAGAAACACUGUGAGUUGGCAGGUCUAAAAAGAGAAGCACAGUGAGUUGGCAGUUCCAGAAAGAGAAGCACAGUGAGUUGGGCAGGUCUAGAGAAAGAGAGAAGGACAGCGAGUUGGCAGGUCUAAAAAGAGAAGGACAGUGAGUUGGCAGGUCUAAAAAGAGAAGGACAGUGAGUUUGCAGUUCUAGAAAGAGAAGCACAGUGAGUUGGCAGGUCUAGAAAGAGAAACACAGUGAGUUUGCAGGUCUAGAGAGAGAGAGAAGCAUAGUGAGUUGGCAGGUCUAGAAAGAGAAGCACAGUGAGUUGGCAGGUCUAGAGAGAGAGAGAAGCAUAGUGAGUUGGCAGGUCUAAAAAGAGAAGCACAGUGAGUCGGCAGGUCUAGAGAGAGAGAGAAGCAUAGUGAGUUGGCAGGUCUAAAAAGAGAAGCACAGUGAGUUGGCAGGUCUAAAAAGAGAAGCACAGUGAGUUGGCAGGUCUAAAAAGAGAAGCACAGUGAGUUGGCAGGUCUAAAAAGAGAAGCACAGUGAGUUGGCAGGUCUAAAAAGAGAAGCACAGUGAGUUGGCAGGUCUAGAGAGAGAGAGAGAAGCACAGUGAGUCGGCAGGUCUAGAGAGAGAGAGAAGCAUAGUGAGUUGGCAGGUCUAAAAAGAGAAGCACAGUGAGUUGGCACGUCUAGAGAGAGAGAGAAGCACAGCGAGUUGGCAGGUCUAGAGAGAGAGAAGCACAGUGAGUUGGGCAGGUCCAGAAAGAGAAACACAGUGAGUUGGCAGGUCUAAAAAGAGAAGCACAGUGAGUUGGCAGGUCUAGAGAGAGAGAGAAGCAUAGUGAGUUGACAGGUCUAGAAAGAGAAGCACAGUGAGUUGGCAGGUCUAGAGAGAGAGAGAAGCAUAGUGAGUUGGCAGGUCUGGAGAGAGAAACACAUGGAGUUAAACAGGUCUAGAGAGAGAAGAACAGUGAGUUGGCAGGUCUAGAGAGAGAGAGAAGCACAGUCAGUUGGCAGGUCUAGAGAGAGAGAAGCACAGUGAGUUGGCAGGUCUAAAAAGAGAAGCACAGUGAGUUGGCAGGUCUAAAAAGAGAAGCACAGUGAGUUGGCAGGUCUAGAAAGAGAGGCACAGUGAUUUGGCAGGUCUAGAGAGAGAGAGAAGUACAGCGAGGUGGCAAGUCUAGAAAGAGAAGCACAGUGAGUUGGCAGGUCUAGAGAGAGAGAUAAGCAUACUGAGUUGGCAUGUCUAGAGAGAGAGAUACACAGUGAGUUGGCAGGUCUAGAAAGAGAAGCACAGUGAGUUGGCAGGUCUAGAAAGAGAAACACAGUGAGUUGGCAGGUCUAAAAAGAGAAGCACAGUGUGUUGGCAGUUCCAGAAAGAGAAGCACAGUGAGUUGGGCAGGUCUAGAGAGAGAGAGAAGCACAGCGAGUUGGCAGGUCUAGAAAGAGAAACACAGUGAGUUGGCAGGUCUAAAAAGAGAAGCACAGUGAGUUGGCUGUUCCAGAAAGAGAAGCACAGUGAGUUGGGCAGGUCUAGAGAGAGAGAGAAGGACAGCGAGUUGGCAGGUCUAAAAAGAGAAGCACAGUGAGUUUGCAGUUCUAGAAAGAGAAGCACAGUGAGUUGGCAGGUCUAGAAAGAGAGACACAGUGAGUUUGCAGGUCUAGAGAGAGAGAGAAGCAUAGUGAGUUGGCAGGUCUAGAGAGAGAGAGAAGCAUAGUGAGUUGGCAGGUCUAGAAAGAGAAGCACAGUGAGUUGGCAGGUCUAGAGAGAGAAGAACAGUAAUUCAGGCGGUUCUAGAGAGAGAAGCGCAGUGUUUCAGACAGGUCUAGAGAGAGAAGCAGAGUAAUUCAGACAGGUGUAGAGAGAGAAGCACAGUGAUCCAGACAGGUCUAGAGAGAAACACAGUAUUUCAGACAGGUCUAGAGAGAGAAGCACAGUGAGUUGGCAGGUCUAGAAAGAGAAACACAGUGAGUUGGCAGGUCUAAAAAGAGAAGCACAGUGAGUUGGCAGUUCCAGAAAGAGAAGCACAGUGAGUUGGGCAGGUCUAGAGAGAGAGAGAAGCACAGCGAGGUGGCAAGUCUAGAAAGAGAAGCACAGUAAGUUGGCAGGUCUAGAAAGAGAAACACUGUGAGUUGGCAGGUCUAAAAAGAGAAGCACAGUGAGUUGGCAGUUCCAGAAAGAGAAGCACAGUGAGUUGGGCAGGUCUAGAGAAAGAGAGAGCCACAGUGAGUUGGCAGGUCUAGAAAGAGAAGGACAGUGAGUUGACAGGUCUACAGAGAGAGAGAAGCACAGUGAGUUGGCAGGUCUAGAGAGAGAGAGAAGCACAGUGAGUUGGCAGGUCUAGAGAGAGAAGCAUAGUGAGUUGGCAGGUCUAGAGAGAGAGAGAGAGAGAGAGAGAGAGAGAGAAGCACAGUGAGUUGGCAGGUCUAGAAAGAAAAGCACAGUGAGUUGGCAGGUCUAGAGAGAAAGAGAGGAGCACAGUGAGUUGGCAGGUCUAGAGAGAGAGAAAGAGAAGCACAGUGAGUUGGCAGGUCUAGAGAGAGAGAAUCACAGUGUGUUGGGCAGGUCUAGAAAGAGAAGGACAGUGAGUUGGCAGGUCUAGAGAGAGAGAGAGAAGCACAGUGAGUUGGGCAGGUCUAGAAAGAGAAGCACAGUGAGUUGGCACGUCUAGAGAGAGAGAGAAGCACAGCGAGUUGGCAGGUCUAGAGAGAGAGAAGCACAGUGAGUUGGGCAGGUCCAGAAAGAGAAACACAGUGAGUUGGCAGGUCUAAAAAGAGAAGCACAGUGAGUUGGCAGGUCUAGAGAGAGAGAGAAGCAUAGUGAGUUGACAGGUCUAGAAAGAGAAGCACAGUGAGUUGGCAGGUCUAGAGAGAGAGAGAAGCAUAGUGAGUUGGCAGGUCUGGAGAGAGAAACACAUGGAGUUAAACAGGUCUAGAGAGAGAAGAACAGUGAGUUGGCAGGUCUAGAGAGAGAGAGAAGCACAGUCAGUUGGCAGGUCUAGAGAGAGAGAAGCACAGUGAGUUGGCAGGUCUAAAAAGAGAAGCACAGUGAGUUGGCAGGUCUAAAAAGAGAAGCACAGUGAGUUGGCAGGUCUAGAAAGAGAGGCACAGUGAUUUGGCAGGUCUAGAGAGAGAGAGAAGUACAGCGAGGUGGCAAGUCUAGAAAGAGAAGCACAGUGAGUUGGCAGGUCUAGAGAGAGAGAUAAGCAUACUGAGUUGGCAUGUCUAGAGAGAGAGAUACACAGUGAGUUGGCAGGUCUAGAAAGAGAAGCACAGUGAGUUGGCAGGUCUAGAAAGAGAAACACAGUGAGUUGGCAGGUCUAAAAAGAGAAGCACAGUGUGUUGGCAGUUCCAGAAAGAGAAGCACAGUGAGUUGGGCAGGUCUAGAGAGAGAGAGAAGCACAGCGAGUUGGCAGGUCUAGAAAGAGAAACACAGUGAGUUGGCAGGUCUAAAAAGAGAAGCACAGUGAGUUGGCUGUUCCAGAAAGAGAAGCACAGUGAGUUGGGCAGGUCUAGAGAGAGAGAGAAGGACAGCGAGUUGGCAGGUCUAAAAAGAGAAGCACAGUGAGUUUGCAGUUCUAGAAAGAGAAGCACAGUGAGUUGGCAGGUCUAGAAAGAGAGACACAGUGAGUUUGCAGGUCUAGAGAGAGAGAGAAGCAUAGUGAGUUGGCAGGUCUAGAGAGAGAGAGAAGCAUAGUGAGUUGGCAGGUCUAGAAAGAGAAGCACAGUGAGUUGGCAGGUCUAGAGAGAGAAGAACAGUAAUUCAGGCGGUUCUAGAGAGAGAAGCGCAGUGUUUCAGACAGGUCUAGAGAGAGAAGCAGAGUAAUUCAGACAGGUGUAGAGAGAGAAGCACAGUGAUCCAGACAGGUCUAGAGAGAAACACAGUAUUUCAGACAGGUCUAGAGAGAGAAGCACAGUGAGUUGGCAGGUCUAGAAAGAGAAACACAGUGAGUUGGCAGGUCUAAAAAGAGAAGCACAGUGAGUUGGCAGUUCCAGAAAGAGAAGCACAGUGAGUUGGGCAGGUCUAGAGAGAGAGAGAAGCACAGCGAGGUGGCAAGUCUAGAAAGAGAAGCACAGUAAGUUGGCAGGUCUAGAAAGAGAAACACUGUGAGUUGGCAGGUCUAAAAAGAGAAGCACAGUGAGUUGGCAGUUCCAGAAAGAGAAGCACAGUGAGUUGGGCAGGUCUAGAGAAAGAGAGAGCCACAGUGAGUUGGCAGGUCUAGAAAGAGAAGGACAGUGAGUUGACAGGUCUACAGAGAGAGAGAAGCACAGUGAGUUGGCAGGUCUAGAGAGAGAGAGAAGCACAGUGAGUUGGCAGGUCUAGAGAGAGAAGCAUAGUGAGUUGGCAGGUCUAGAGAGAGAGAGAGAGAGAGAGAGAGAGAGAGAAGCACAGUGAGUUGGCAGGUCUAGAAAGAAAAGCACAGUGAGUUGGCAGGUCUAGAGAGAAAGAGAGGAGCACAGUGAGUUGGCAGGUCUAGAGAGAGAGAAAGAGAAGCACAGUGAGUUGGCAGGUCUAGAGAGAGAGAAUCACAGUGUGUUGGGCAGGUCUAGAAAGAGAAGGACAGUGAGUUGGCAGGUCUAGAGAGAGAGAGAGAAGCACAGUGAGUUGGGCAGGUCUAGAAAGAGAAGCACAGUGAGUUGGCACGUCUAGAGAGAGAGAGAAGCACAGCGAGUUGGCAGGUCUAGAGAGAGAGAAGCACAGUGAGUUGGGCAGGUCCAGAAAGAGAAACACAGUGAGUUGGCAGGUCUAAAAAGAGAAGCACAGUGAGUUGGCAGGUCUAGAGAGAGAGAGAAGCAUAGUGAGUUGGCAGGUCUAGAGAGAGAGAGAAGCACAGUCAGUUGGCAGGUCUAGAGAGAGAGAAGCACAGUGAGUCGGCAGGUCUAGAGAGAGAGAAGCACAGUGAGUCGGCAGGUCUAGAGAGAGAGAGAAGCAUAGUGAGUUGGCAGGUCUAAAAAGAGAAGCACAGUGAGUUGGCAGGUCUAAAAAGAGAAGCACAGUGAGUUGGCAGGUCUAAAAAGAGAAGCACAGUGAGUUGGCAGGUCUAAAAAGAGAAGCACAGUGAGUUGGCAGGUCUAAAAAGAGAAGCACAGUGAGUUGGCAGGUCUAGAGAGAGAGAGAGAAGCACAGUGAGUCGGCAGGUCUAGAGAGAGAGAGAAGCAUAGUGAGUUGGCAGGUCUAAAAAGAGAAGCACAGUGAGUUGGCAGGUCAAAAAGAGAAGCACAGUGAGUUGGCAGGUCAAAAAGAGAAGCACAGUGAGUUGGCAGGUCUAAAAAGAGAAGCACAGUGAGUUGGCAGGUCUAAAAAGAGAAGCACAGUGAGUUGGUAGGACUAGAGAGAGAGAGAAGGACAGUGAGUUGGCAUGUCUAGAGAGAGAGAGAUACACAGUGAGUUGGCAGGUCUAGAAAGAGAAGCACAGUGAGUUGGCAGGUCUAGAAAGAGAAACACAGUGAGUUGGCAGGUCUAAAAAGAGAAGCACAGUGUGUUGGCAGUUCCAGAAAGAGAAGCACAGUGAGUUGGGCAGGUCUAGAGAGAGAGAGAAGCACAGCGAGUUGGCAGGUCUAGAAAGAGAAACACAGUGAGUUGGCAGGUCUAAAAAGAGAAGCACAGUGAGUUGGCAGGUCUAGAAAGAGAAACACAGUGAGUUUGCAGGUCUAGAGAGAGAGAGAAGCAUAGUGAGUUGGCAGGUCUAGAGAGAGAGAGAAGCAUAGUGAGUUGGCAGGUCUAGAAAGAGAAGCACAGUGAGUUGGCAGGUCUAGAGAGAGAAGAACAGUAAUUCAGGCGGUUCUAGAGAGAGAAGCGCAGUGUUUCAGACAGGUCUAGAGAGAGGAGCAGAGUAAUUCAGACAGGUCUAGAGAGAGAAGCGCAGUCAUUCAGACAGGUCUAGAGAGAUGCACAGUGAUUCAGUCAGGUCUAGAGAGAGAAGCACAGUGUUUCAGACAGGUCUAGAGAGAAGCACAGUGAUUCAGACAGGUGUAGAGAGAGAAGCACAGUGAUUCAGACAGGUGUAGAGAGAGAAGCACAGUGAUCCAGACAGGUCUAGAGAGAAACACAGUAUUUCAGACAGGUCUAGAGAGAGAAGCACAGUGAGUUGGCAGGUCUAGAAAGAGAAACACAGUGAGUUGGCAGGUCUAAAAAGAGAAGCACAGUGAGUUGGCAGUUCCAGAAAGAGAAGCACAGUGAGUUGGGCAGGUCUAGUGAGAGAGAGAAGCACAGCGAGGUGGCAAGUCUAGAAAGAGAAGCACAGUAAGUUGGCAGGUCUAGAAAGAGAAACACUGUGAGUUGGCAGGUCUAAAAAGAGAAGCACAGUGAGUUGGCAGUUCCAGAAAGAGAAGCACAGUGAGUUGGGCAGGUCUAGUGAGAGAGAGAAGCACAGCGAGGUGGCAAGUCUAGAAAGAGAAGCACAGUAAGUUGGCAGGUCUAGAAAGAGAAACACUGUGAGUUGGCAGGUCUAAAAAGAGAAGCACAGUGAGUUGGCAGUUCCAGAAAGAGAAGCACAGUGAGUUGGGCAGGUCUAGAGAAAGAGAGAGCCACAGUGAGUUGGCAGGUCUAGAAAGAGAAGGACAGUGAGUUGACAGGUCUACAGAGAGAGAGAAGCACAGUGAGUUGGCAGGUCUAGAGAGAGAGAGAGAGAGAGAGAGAGAGAGAGAGAGAAGCACAGUGAGUUGGCAGGUCUAGAAAGAAAAGCACAGUGAGUUGGCAGGUCUAGAGAGAAAGAGAGGAGCACAGUGAGUUGGCAGGUCUAGAGAGAGAGUAAGAGAAGCACAGUGAGUUGGCAGGUCUAGAGAGAGAGAGAAUCACAGUGUGUUGGGCAGGUCUAGAAAGAGAAGGACAGUGAGUUGGCAGGUCUAGAAAGACAAGCACAGUGAGUUGGCACGUCUAGAGAGAGAGAGAGAAGCACAGCGAGUUGGCAGGUCUAGAGAGAGAGAAGCACAGUGAGUUGGGCCGGUCUAGAAAGAGAAACACAGUGAGUUGGCAGGUCUAAAAAGAGAAGCACAGUGAGUUGGCAGGUCUAGAGAGAGAGAGAAGCAUAGUGAGUUGGCAGGUCUAGAAAGAGAAACACAUGGAGUUAAACAGGUCUAGAGAGAGAAGAACAGUGAGUUGGCAGGUCUAGAGAGAGAGAGAAGCACAGUCAGUUGGCAGGUCUAGAGAGAGAGAAGCACAGUGAGUUGGCAGGUCUAGAGAGAGAGAGAAGCAUAGUGAGUUGGCAAGUCU